UGUGGGGGGAAUCGCCAAGCGUACCAGUUUUGGAGGUCACAGUUCCGCGGGGCGCAGCUAAUGGCGGAGCAAGCUGUGAGGGGAGGGUCGCCCAAUUGUCGUCAGCGUGAACGCGGGCGCCCAGCAGUAGUCGACUGAUGGGAGGAGCUAAAAGUCGCUUGGUGUCCUGACAAGAUGUGUUACUCUUUUGCUAAGAUCGUCAUCUCUAAUGCUUUGAGGGAGAUAACUUCUGCACACCUAGAACUUUCGGAUUACUACCGAGCUUGAAGAAUCUUAUUUUGGAAGAGACUUUUUGGUUUUUCUAGACAUUGGACUUUCAUGUACAGUUAAAUUUUCAAGAUAAUUUUGGAGACUAACAUGGAGUUUCUUACUUUCAUUUUUGCCAAGGUAUUACACCAGUACCAGAAGACAGAACAAUGAACACAACAGUUUGGGUCCCUAAGGAGUAAAAGUAAGCUAAAAAGCAGAACCUGUCUUUGGACUGGAGCUGAACACCAGUUUGCCUGGGUCUCAGCCUGCCCACCUUCAGAUCAGAACUAUUUUAUCAGCUCUCGGUCUCCAGGCUGCUACUCUUCAGCGUGAAACUGAAGCAUCAGCUCCUCGUGGGUCUCCAGCUUGCCCACCCUCCCCUGCAGAUUUUGUACUUGCCAGCCUCCAUAAUCAUGUGAGCCAAUUCCUUAUGAUAAACCUCUUUCUCUAUAUAUGUAAACAUCCUACUGCUUCUGUUUCUCUGGAAAACCGUGACUAAUAUAGGGAAGUUAUUUAAUUUUCAUGUAUGUUUAAUCAUGGUAUUUUGAGUUGAGUAAAUAAGACAAUAUAUUUCUUUCAAGUGAUUAAAAAAGACACCAUCAUGUGUCACCCAAAGCAAAUUGUUGGUUCUAUUCUAAAGCUUAUAUUUUACUUCUUUUUUGUUGUUCCUUCACUGUUUUUGUUCUUUAAUUCAUUUUCUCAGAUUUGUGUUGUUAGUUUUAGAACUUGAAUUUAAUUCACUUCCACAGCUCAUCAAAUAGGUAUAUAUUUUAAGUUUCAAAUCAAGUUUUCUGCCAUAAAAGAUCAAUCUCUACUUUCAGGAUGGAAGUUCUCAAACCCAUCUUUGUACAUAAUUAUAACAAUUCUGGGGAGAGUAACAUAGAUAUGAAAGAUUAGCAUAAUAAACUAUACUUCAGUCAUCAAGGAUCUUUCUCAUUUGUUGAAUUUGAAACUAAUACUUUAUACCACUUU